UACAGAGGAGCCAAGCGUUGUCCGGAUUGACUGGGCGUAAAGCGCACGCAGGCGGUUGCGCGCGUGGGGUGUGAAAUCUGGCCGCUUAACGGCCAGGCGCCAUCCCAUACGGCGCGACUGGAGUGAUGCAGAGGUCGAUGGAAUUGCCGGUGUAGUGGUGAAAUGCGUAGAGAUCGGCAGGAACACCCAGGGGGAAACCAGUCGACUGGGCAUCUACUGACGCUGAGGUGCGAGAGUGUGGGGAGCGAACCGG
rnacentral:rRNA from 1 species